rnacentral:rRNA from 1 species
AUACGGAGGAUCCGAGCGUUAUCCGGAUUUAUUGGGUUUAAAGGGUGCGCAGGCGGGAGAUUAAGUCGGCGGUGAAAUUUUGCAGCUCAACUGUAAAAGUGCCUUCGAUACUGGUUUCCUUGAGUGUGGAUGAAGUAGGCGGAAUUUGUGGUGUAGCGGGGAAAUGCUUAGAUAUCACGAGGAACUCCGAUUGCGCAGGCAGCUUACUAAGCCAUAACUGACGCUCAUGCACGAAGGCGUGGGGAUCAAACAGGAUUAGAUACCCUGGUAGUCCACGCAGUAAACGAUGAUUACUCGCUGUUUGCGAUACAAUGUAAGCGGCUAAGCGAAAGCAUUAAGUAAUCCACCUGGGGAGUACGUUCGCAAGAAUGAAACUCAAAUGAAUUGACGGG